GAGCGCCGCAACCCCAGAGUCAUCUGCGACUGGACCUAACGGUCAGGGGUUCCUUUACCUUUAAAGGACCCCUGACCAUUAAGUCCAGUCACAGACGACUCUGGGGUUACGGCGCUC